AAGUAAAUGAUAUGAUUCACUCGGAUUCCACCUCAGGACAUCAUGAGUGAUGAAAAAACCGAGUCUCUGAUGCU